rnacentral:lncRNA from 1 species
AAAGGGAUGUGAUGCAUUUCUUCAGGAAAGAGGCACUUUGUUUGGAAAAAUAAAUUAGAAGAAUACUUUUAUAAUUCCAAGUUAGUGCAUUUUAUUUGUAAUAACUGAACCAAAGAGGCUAGGAGAAAAUAAAACCUUCAAAGAUGGUAUUACUGAACCACGUCCUUGAUUCACAUGGUAACAGCAGCAGGCACAAGCACUUGUCAAUCUGAUUUCUCCCUUACACAUCAUAGCUCAGUAAUUCUCAUUCAUUGCUCCCGGUACUUCCUAUGUGCAAAUCUGCCCCAUCUACCACGCGCUUUUUGACAAGACCAUCAGAAUAGAGCACAUAAAAGAACAGAAAUUUCUUCAGAAGCAGGUUUUUCCUGAAUCUGCUGAACAUUUCAGAUGAUAAAGUGUCCCCUGAAAACUGGAAAAUUAACAUAAAACUCCUCCCUGAGGAGCAUUAUUAACUUUUGUGUCAUGUCACCCACGUCAUCCUCCACUUGCAGCAAGAACCCAGCGCUAGCGUUGAUGCUGCCCUCGGGGACGCAUAUAUACCAAUGGCUUCCUCUGGGCUAUUUAUUCCAUCAGAUGGAUAAAAUCCAUCUAAAAACUUGUGUAAACUAUGCACUGUUAACAAUUCUUUAUACCACCAACUGAAAACCUUGAAUAGAUCUAUAAGCUGUCAGUUCUGAUGUGGGUUUUAUUUCCUGGGCUUCCUCAAUUCACUGUCAUGGGUAACAUCCUGUAAUUUUUAACAUACCCAUUCUGAGGUAACACAAAAAAUAACCCCUCAUCUUCCACUGAAUGGGAAGUAGCAAUUGAUACAUGUAUGCGUGAAAGGUUUUGCUUUGAAUUAAAAAAUACCAACCUCCAGAUGGGCUUUGCAGCAGCAUGGGGCUUGUGGGAGGGGGCUGGAAUCAAAGCUGAUAGACCUGAUGGGUUGGUGGGAAGACAAGCAGAAAGGUCAAGCCUGAAGUUUGCUCUGAAGCUUGCAGGGAUGUCUAACAACAUCGUUUUCAUGAAAAAACAUGAAAGCAUUUCAACUAGAGAUUAAAAACUCCACUGAAGGCCUCAGUGAAAAAAAAUAGGAUCUUUUUUACCUAAUGUUUCCAGUCACAGAAUUCUGCUAACCCACAUAAUGGAUACAUUUCAUUUUUAAAUCAAAACCAGGUUAUUUCUCUGUAUAUUGCAAUACUCAAGCAGGAUUCUCUUCAUAACAGACAAUCUGAAUAUGUUUAACCUUCUAAAAAAAUGAUUUUCUGGGGCAAUGCAGCUGCCACCUCCCACAAUGAGAAAUGGUCCCACAGCACAGUUCAUGCCAUGCCAGAACAAGGCAUGGGGAGCAUCCAUGAAUUAUUCAUUAUGGCAACUGCACCCAGACCUCAGCAAACACCACGUCUACUGAUCUGUAAACUAAUGUCCAGGUCCUCCUAAAAGGGAGGUUCAGAGAACCAGCAAACAGAGAUGAAGACCCUACUUUGGGAGCCCAAACAAGACUCAGGCUCCCCCCAUUAACGGAAAGGGCCAAAGAUUAAAAAAAACAAAUUAAAAGGAGACACAGUAAUCUGCUUGGCAUUGGCC